UACGGAGGGUGCAAGCGUUACUCGGAAUCACUGGGCGUAAAGAGCGUGUAGGCGGAUAGUUAAGUUUGAAGUGAAAUCCAAUGGCUCAACCAUUGAACUGCUUUGAAAACUGAUUAUCUAGAAUAUGGGAGAGGUAGAUGGAAUUUCUGGUGUAGGGGUAAAAUCCGUAGAGAUCAGAAAGGAAUACCGAUUGCGAAGGCGAUCUACUGGAACAUUAUUGACGCUGAGACGCGAAAAGCGUGGGGAGCAA
rnacentral:rRNA from 1 species